rnacentral:lncRNA from 1 species
CUUAAAUAAUUAACAAGAAGAGGUUUGUCCUUUUAAAGGUCCCUGUCACUGAUACUUGCCUAUAAGAAGGUCUUAGAAAUGGACCUUUCUUAAAACACACUGUUACCACUUGGAUUCAUCACAUUUUUGGGGCAGUUUUAACAUGGCAACUGCAGAAGUCACAGACACUUGAGUAAAUGGUAUUCCUCACAGGCACAGGCUCAGAAGUCUCCACUCCUGGGAAAAGACAAGGCUACCAGAGAGGCAAAAGAAAGCAACAAGUUAUUCCAGACGAGCAGCCUGUGCAACCCUUUGGCCAAUGUUUGACGCAUCAAAGAUCUGUCGUGGUUCAACCUUUUCAUACGCCCUUGGUCAGAACAGAGGAAAGUCAGUUUAAAAAAGAGCCAGCCAUAUUGGAAGAGGGUGCAGGAACCAUUCAGAGCUAGAAAGGUUGAAUUGCAGUGGGGAUGAGGGAGGACAACUCAAAGUUUUCUAAAUAAGGAGAUUAAGAGAUGCCUCAGUUACUGACUACUAGAACCAGCAUGGAAAAAUAAUUUGGAAUAAUAUUGUUGAGUCCACUAGAUAAAAAUAUGGAUGGAUGUUCAUCUCAAGCUGAACAAAUCCAACCUAAAAAGAGAGCACAUUUUUUUAACCACAAGUAUGAAGUUAAACUUCAAAAGACAUUUACAAGAGAAGCAAUAAGUCACAUACUCUGGAUGUCUUUCUGGGAGAUCAAGUUUUAAUCAAGCCCAAAUUAUUGGCCUAGGUACAGGUAAAAUAUAAUGGACUGCGGUAUUUGACCCUGCAGGUCUGCCUAACACCUGAUGCAUGAAUAAAGGCAUUUUAUAAGUCCGCGAUUAUGUGAUG